rnacentral:rRNA from 1 species
AUUGAACGCUGGCGGCAGGCCUAACACAUGCAAGUCGAGCGGCAGAAGGGAGCUUGCUCCUGGAUUCAGCGGCGGACGGGUGAGUAAUGCCUAGGAACAUGCCUGGUAGUGGGGGAUAACGUCCGGAAACGGGCGCUAAUACCGCAUACGUCCUGAGGGAGAAAGUGGGGGAUCUUCGGACCUCACGCUAUCAGAUGAGCCUAGGUCGGAUUAGCUAGUUGGUGGGGUAAAGGCCUACCAAGGCGACGAUCCGUAACUGGUCUGAGAGGAUGAUCAGUCACACUGGAACUGAGACACGGUCCAGACUCCUACGGGAGGCAGCAGUGGGGAAUAUUGGACAAUGGGCGAAAGCCUGAUCCAGCCAUGCCGCGUGUGUGAAGAAGGUCUUCGGAUUGUAAAGCACUUUAGGUUGGGAGGAAGGGCAGUAAGUUAAUACCUUGCUGUUUUGACGUUACCAACAGAAUAAGCACCGGCUAACUUCGUG